rnacentral:rRNA from 1 species
AUUGAACGCUGGCGGCAGGCUUAACACAUGCAAGUCGAGCGGGCGAGGUUGCUUCGGUAACUGAGCUAGCGGCGGACGGGUGAGUAAAGCUUAGGAAUCUGCCUAUUAGUGGGGGACAACAUUUCGAAAGGGAUGCUAAUACCGCAUACGUCCUACGGGAGAAAGCAGGGGAUCACUUGUGACCUUGCGCUAAUAGAUGAGCCUAAGUCGGAUUAGCUAGUUGGUGGGGUAAAAGCCUACCAAGGCGACGAUCUGUAGCGGGUCCGAGAGGGUGAUCCGCCACACUGGGACUGAGACACGGCCCAGACUCCUACGGGAGGCAGCAGUGGGGAAUAUUGGACAAUGGGGGGAACCCUGAUCCAGCCAUGCCGCGUGUGUGAAGAAGGCCUUUUGGUUGUAAAGCACUUUAAGUGGGGAGGAGGCUUACCUGGUUAAUACCUGGGCUAAGUGGACGUUACCCACAGAAUAAGCACCGGCUAACUCUGUGCCAGCCGCCGCAGUAA